rnacentral:rRNA from 1 species
GAUGAACGCUAGCUACAGGCUUAACACAUGCAAGUCGCGGGCAGCAUGAAUUUAGCUUGCUAAAUUUGAUGGCGACCGGCGCACGGGUGAGUAACGCGUAUCCAACCUUCCCCUGUCCACGGGAUAGCCCGUCGAAAGGCGGAUUAAUACCGUAUGAGGUCACACGAUGGCAUCAGACUGUGACGAAAGGUUUGGCGGACAGGGAUGGGGAUGCGUCCGAUUAGGUAGUCGGCGGGUAACGGCCCACCGAGCCGACGAUCGGUAGGGGUUCUGAGAGGAAGGUCCCCCCACAUUGGAACUGAGACACGGUCCAAACUCCUACGGGAGGCAGCAGUGAGGAAUAUUGGUCAAUGGACGGAAGUCUGAACCAGCCAAGUAGCGUGCAGGACGACGGCCCUAAUGGGUUGUAAACUGCUUUUAUGUGGGAAUAAAGUGAGGGACGUGUCCCUUUUUGUAGGUACCACAUGAAUAAGGACCGGCUAAAUUCCGUGCCAGCAGCCG